rnacentral:rRNA from 1 species
ACGUAGGGGGCAAGCGUUGUCCGGAAUGAUUGGGCGUAAAGGGCGCGUAGGCGGCCGCGUAAGUCCGACGUGAAAUUCCUGCUUUUAAGGUAGGAAUUGCGUUGGAAACUGCGUGGCUUGAGUGCAGGAGAGGUAAGUGGAAUUCCCGGUGUAGCGGUGAAAUGCGUAGAGAUCGGGAGGAACACCAGUGGCGAAGGCGACUUACUGGACUGUAACUGACGCUGAGGCGCGAAAGUGUGGGGAGCAAACAG